rnacentral:rRNA from 1 species
GUGUAGGAUAGGUGGGAGACUAUGAAGCAUUAACGCCAGUUAGUGUGGAGUCGUUGUUGAAAUACCACUCUGAUCGUAUUGGACCUCUAACUUCGAACCGUAUAUCCGGUUCAGGGACAGUGCCUGGUGGGUAGUUUAACUGGGGCGGUUGCCUCCCAAAAAGUAACGGAGGCGCCCAAAGGUUCCCUCAACCUGGACGGCAAUCAGGUGUUGAGUGCAAGUGCACAAGGGAGCUUGACUGCGAGACUGACACGUCAAGCAGGGACGAAAGUCGGGACUAGUGAUCCGGCACCCCCGAGUGGAAGGGGUGUCGCUCAACGGAUAAAAGGUACCCCGGGGAUAACAGGCUGAUCUUCCCCAAGAGUCCAUAUCGACGGGAUGGUUUGGCACCUCGAUGUCGGCUCGUCGCAUCCUGGGGCUGGAGCAGGUCCCAAGGGUUGGGCUGUUCGCCCAUUAAAGCGGCACGCGAGCUGGGUUAGAACGUCGUGAGACAG